ACGUGUCACUCAGGUGGCCCAGUCCCCGCCUUCGGUGGUUUCAAAUAUUUGCCACGUUUUCUCCUCUCUCUGUUUAAAACUGCUUUUCGUUCUCAUUUUCUCUCUCUAAACGGAAAAUGGAAAUGAAAGCGGAUGCGGUUAGUGAUUCAAAAGUCUCUGCCGCUUCCGAAGUAAUUUCGUUUUUUCUUCGUGAGAUUAUUUGGUGCCAGAAGUAGCUGCGAUUGUGUGCGCCGUCGUCAUGAGCGGCAGCGGAGAGGCGAGAGAAGAGUCGGCAGACAUUAGAGGAUCGAUCGGCAACAUUGCCGCCGUCGAAGCCGAAACAUGCAGAAUACGGCCAUGCACGAUCGUUCUGAGAGAGAAACAUGAGAAUGUUCUCUAAUCGAUCUUCUCGCGCAGUUCUUCGAGGAAAUAGCUUGCGAAUUUCCUUCGGUACUCCUUAUAUGAAGGUAAACGCUUCGAGCGCAAGUUUUAGUGUAUUUCGUGGUGCUUGAUGCCUUUUUGGCUCCAGAAAAGAGAAGGGCGCUCUUCUCGAUUAGUGCAUGUGAUUCAAAGAUCAUUGUUAAUUAAUGCGAGUUCGUUCUACAUAUCUCGAUGCAAAUUACAUGAUUAUUCUCAUCAUAAAUUCUUCAAUUGCAGUAUUGUUUAAUGGUUUCGCUCAUGCGUUUGAGGAUCAUUUUAUUUCAUUUUAUUUUACCGAAGGAAUAGGCCACAAUCAUUUACUAAUUACGAAACUAUAUUUUAGCACACUUAAGAAUGGAUUAAAAAUACUUAGAAACUGAGAUCUGAGGAACUGGCUCAAGAACAAUCAUGGAGAUUAUUCACGAAAUUUUUAUCAAAUCGUAAGAGUCGUUUAUAAGGUCUUAUAAAACUAGGGUUUAAGACGUAAAAAAUUAAGGUGUUGUCUGUUAACUAGGGUUUAAGGCAUAAAUUGUUUUUGCAUAAUUGUGCUUGUUUACGUUACAUGAAAGAUGUUAUGGAAGUAAUGAUUAACGAUUUGAUUGAUCUUUCCAGCAGGAAAAGUUUGUGCUCCCAAACUGUUGCAAGAAAAUGGAAAUUUCUUGUGGUUCUAGUGGUUUUUAUUUUAUAAUUGUUUAUUAUUCCGUCCGUUGGGGAUAUUUGUUUUCCUUUUGUCGCUUUCCGAAGGUCUCGAAAGCAGAUUGGAGAGCGAGGGCUCAAUCUCAUUAUACGGUGGGCGGUGGAUAAAGCUGAGGAGAUGCUGCCGCCGCAGCGAGGUCAGUAGAAAAAAGUUGAAAUUGCUGCAGCAGCUGCUGUUGCUGGUGUGGAAAGGACAUCAAAAUUCAAAAGAAGUAUGCUCCCGAAAGGUCAGAAUGACUUCUAAUAAAGCUGAAAAUGCAUUAAUAUGAUGGUUGCCUGUCAGAACUCAGCAGUAGUGCCGCUUGGUAAAGUUGAAGCAUCCCCAUUUUUUGAAGCCUAACCCCAUUUCACAAACUUCCCAGCUUGUCUCCAACACUCUGGAGAGUACCAGACGCCCUAGAGACCUUGGGUAUGGGCUAUUGAUUUCAGCAAACUAUAUGGAGCAAUGCCAUAGAUGGAAGCAUUCAAAAGCUUGUCGUCUGGAGACCGCUUUAGAUGAUUCAUUGACGUAAUUAAAAGAGGUCCCGGGCUCCAUUAUUGGACUGGUGAAACAUGUUUAGAUCUUCACUUGAAGACUCGUCCGGAGCUCCAUUGCUUCCUCCAAAUGCCAUCAUCGAAGAAAUUGGAACUGCCGGCAAUUGAUGGUGG